rnacentral:pre_miRNA from 9 species
UUGUGUACUGAAGCAGGGGUGUGUGCGGUCAACCCGUAGAUCCGAACUUGUGUUGGGUUUGGUAACAUGAGCUCGGCACUCGGGUAGACUGCGUCAUCCCAGCCCGCCACCCAAUGCC